UACAGAGGGGGCGAGCGUUGUUCGGAAUUACUGGGCGUAAAGGGCGCGUAGGCGGCCUGCUAAGUCAUACGUGAAAUCCCUCGGCUUAACCGGGGAACUGCGUCUGAUACUGGAUGGCUUGAGUUUGGGAGAGGGAUGCGGAAUUCCAGGUGUAGCGGUGAAAUGCGUAGAUAUCUGGAGGAACACCGGUGGCGAAGGCGGCAUCCUGGACCAACACUGACGCUGAGUGAGCGAAAGCCAGGGGAGCAAACGGG
rnacentral:rRNA from 1 species